ACCUGGUUGAUCCUGCCAGUAGUCAUACGCUUGUCUCAAAGAUUAAGCCAUGCAUGUCUAAGUAUAAACCUUUAUACGGUGAAACUGCGAAUGGCUCAUUAUAUCAGUUAUAGUUUAUUUGAUAGUCCCUACUACUUGGAUACCCGUAGUAAUUCUAGAGCUAAUACAUGCGUAAAAGCGCGACGAAAGUCGUGCUGUAUUUAUUAGAUUUGAACCAACCUCUUCGGAGUUUUUUGGUGAAUCAUGAUAACUUUGCGAAUCGUAUGCUUCGGCGACGAUGAAUCAUUCAAGUUUCUGCCCUAUCAAGUGGCGAUGGUAGGGUAUUGGCCUACCAUGCUUUUGACGGGUAACGGAGAAUUAGGGUUCGAUUCCGGAGAGGGAGCCUGAGAGACGGCUACCACAUCUAAGGAAGGCAGCAGGCGCGUAAAUUACCCAAUCCUGACACGGGGAGGUAGUGACAAUAAAUAACAAUACGGGGCCUUUUGGCACUGUAAUUGGAAUGAGAACAAUUUAAAUCCCUUUACGAGGAUCAAUUGGAGGGCAAGUCUGGUGCCAGCAGCCGCGGUAAUUCCAGCUCCAAUAGCGUAUAUUAAAGUUGUUGCAGUUAAAAAGCUCGUAGUUGGAUUUCUUGGGUAGCAAGCGGGUCGGCACAAAGUGUCUGUACUAGCUUUGCUAUUCAAUCCUCGUAACAAGGUAUCGGUGAGUUAACUCCAUUCGGUGCUGAGUUGCGUCAUUUACUGUGAACAAAUUAGAGUGUUUAAAGCAGGCAAAUGCUGUGAAUACAUUAGCAUGGAAUAAUA
rnacentral:rRNA from 1 species